rnacentral:sRNA from 1 species
UAAAUAAUCUAAAAUAACACAUGUCAUUUUUUUUGUGAUGAUGUGCCAGUCAUAUGCAAAAAAUUGACCAACUUUCGUAUAUAUGAUUUAGCUCUUUGUUUU